UACGGGGGGGGCAAGCGUUGUUCGGAAUUACUGGGCGUAAAGGGCUCGUAGGUGGCCAACUAAGUCAGACGUGAAAUCCCUCGGCUUAACCGGGGAACUGCGUCUGAUACUGGAUGGAUUGAGUUCGGGAGAGGGAUGCGGAAUUCCAGGUGUAGCGGUGAAAUGCGUAGAUAUCUGGAGGAACACCGGUGGCGAAGGCGACAUCCUGGACCGGUAUUGACGCUGAGGCGCGAAAGCCAGGGGAGCAAACGGG
rnacentral:rRNA from 1 species